GACGAACGCUGGCGGCGUGCUUAACACAUGCAAGUCGAACGGAAAGGCCCUGCUUUUGUGGGGUGCUCGAGUGGCGAACGGGUGAGUAACACGUGAGUAACCUGCCCUUGACUUUGGGAUAACUUCAGGAAACUGGGGCUAAUACCGGAUAUGAGCUCCUGCUGCAUGGUGGGGGUUGGAAAGUUUCGGCGGUUGGGGAUGGACUCGCGGCUUAUCAGCUUGUUGGUGGGGUAGUGGCUUACCAAGGCUUUGACGGGUAGCCGGCCUGAGAGGGUGACCGGCCACAAUGGGACUGAGAUACGGCCCAGACUCCAACGGGAGGCAGCAGGGGGGAAUAUUGCACAAUGGGCGGAAGCCUGAUGCAGCAACGCCGCGUGCGGGAUGACGGCCUUCGGGUUGUAAACCGCUUUCGCCUGUGACGAAGCGUGAGUGACGGUAAUGGGUAAAGAAGCACCGGCUAACUACGUG
rnacentral:rRNA from 1 species